rnacentral:tmRNA from 1 species
GGGGGCGCAAUGGCUUCGACGGGGGUGUUGAAGCAGGAGUAGCGAGUCGAUGUCGCCAAGCAUCGUUAAAAGUGGCAUUUAAAAUUAAACGCAAACGAAAAUAACAACGCUUACGCGUUAGCAGCCUAGUUGCUGCUCGUCCGACCUUAGAGACCCACGACUAAGGACCCGGGCGCCAAAUUAGUGGGGAACCGCUUUUAGGGAUGUUCCGACCUAAGAGUGAACAAUCGGAACUAGCCUGCGAAGUAGCUUGUCAUUGAGCGACUUCAAAGGCGAAUGCUAAAGCAAUGACUGCGCUCGGAGAAACUCCUGUGAAUGCAUUUUCGGACGUGGGUUCGAUUCCCACCGCCUCCACCA